rnacentral:rRNA from 1 species
UACGUAGGUGGCAAGCGUUGUCCGGAAUUAUUGGGCGUAAAGCGCACAUAGGCGGACUCUUAAGUCGGUGGUGAAAUCCUGGAGCUCAACUCCAGAACUGCCUUCGAUACUGAGAGUCUCGAGUCCGGGAUAGGUGAGUGGAACUGCGAGUGUAGAGGUGAAAUUCGUAGAUAUUCGCAAGAACACCAGUGGCGAAGGCGGCUCACUGGCCCGGUACUGACGCUGAGGUGCGAAAGCGUGGGGAGCAAACAGG